UACGGAGGGUGCAAGCAUUAAUCGGAUUUACUGGGCGUAAAGGGCGCGUAGGCGCCUUCUAAGUCGAACGUGAAAUCCCUGGGCUCAACCCAGGAACUGCGUCCGAUACUGGAAGGCUUGAAUCCGGGAGAGGGAUGCGGAAUUCCAGGUGUAGCAGUGAAAUGCGUAGAGAUGUGGAGGAACACCGAUGGCGAAGGCAGCCCCCUGGGUUAACACUGACGCUCAGGCA
rnacentral:rRNA from 1 species